GAUGAACGCUGGCGGCGUGCCUAAUACAUGCAAGUCGAGCGAACAGACGAGGAGCUUGCUCCUCUGACGUUAUCGGCGGACGGGUGAGUAACACGUGGAUAACCUACCUAUAAGACUGGGAUAACUUCGGGAAACCGUAGCUAAUACCGGAUAAUAUAUUGAACCGCAUUGUUCAAUAGUUAAAGACGGUUUUGCUGUCACUUAUAGCUGGCUCCGCGCCGCAUUAGCUAGUUGGUUAGGUAACGGCUUACCAAGGCAACGAUGCGUAGCCGACCUGAGAGGGUGAUCGGCCACACUGGAACUGAGAAACGGUCCAGACUCCUACGGGAGGCAGCAGUAGGGAAUCUUACGCAAGGGGCGAAAGCCUGACGGAGCAACGCCGCGUGAGGGAUGAAGGUCUUAGGAUCGUAAAACUCUGUUAUUAGGGAAGAACAAAUGUGUAAGUAACUAUGCACGUCUUGACGGUACCGAAUCAGAAAGCCACGGCUAACUACGUG
rnacentral:rRNA from 1 species